UCCGCGCCUCAACGACGCGUCGGGGCGCCGGGAUGGGCUCGGCCCCGACGGGCAUCAGCAAUUGGUGGAGAGGCGGGGCCCAGGGACGCGACUGCCUGCGGAUUGGUCGGACCUGGCGGGGGCGGGCCCGCGCAUGCACUUAAGGAGAGGCGCCCCAGUCGAGCCGGGGUAGUGCCAAGAUGUCGGCGGCAGUGCCGGAGCUGAAGCAGAUCAGCCGUGUGGAAGCUAUGCGCCUGGGGCCGGGCUGGAGCCACUCGUGCCACGCCAUGCUGUACGCCGCCAACCCCGGGCAGCUUUUCGGCCGCAUCCCUAUGCGCUUCUCGGUGCUGAUGCAGAUGCGCUUCGACGGGCUGCUGGGUUUCCCCGGGGGCUUCGUGGACCGGCGCUUUUGGUCUCUGGAGGACGGUCUGAACCGGGUGCUGGGCCUGGGCCUGGGCUGCCUGCGCCUCACGGAGGCCGACUACCUGAGCUCGCACCUGACCGAGGGCCCGCACCGCGUCGUGGCGCACCUGUACGCACGGCAGCUGACGCUGGAGCAGCUGCACGCCGUGGAAAUCAGCGCGGUGCAUUCGCGCGACCACGGCCUGGAGGUGGGGCCGCCGCCCGGGCCCCGCCCCCCGCCCCGGGGUUUGGCUCUGGCCCCGUGGAAGGCACCGAUGGGUGCUGGGGCUUGUGCGGGUUCCACUUUACACCCAAAAGGACCGAGUUGGUGGCUUUCCCAACUUUCUGAGCAACGCCUUUACCAGCACUGCCAAGUACCAGCUGCUCUUCGCCCUCAAGGUGCUCAACAUGAUGCCCGAGGAGAAGCUGGCUGAGGCUUUGGCUGCUGCCACAGAGAAGCAGAAGAAAGCCCUGGAGAAGCUCCUCCCAUCUUCCUCCUGAGUCCACAGGCUGCUCCAGGACCUGGUAUGGAAGCACUGGCCGAGUGUGCAGAAUGACAACAGCAGCGCCACCACAGAUGGGAAGGUCACCAGUGGCCGUCUCCUACGGCCCUAUGUCUGCAAAGACUCCUCAGUGAAGCUAAACCAGUUUGCACGGCACCUGCUUGGUCUGGUAAGGAGAGCUCUGCUCCAGCCCAGCCUGAGCGUCUGUUCCACCUUAAAGCCUCAGUGAAGUGGUCAGCACGUGUGGGCAAAGGCACUUCGUUCUGUAAAUAAAAUACCUGUACCUCG